CCUCAAUUCAAGCAAGACAAAACCCAGGCCUCUCUCGCGCUCCCCCAUUCGUGGAGGGGAGAGGGCCUUGGACGGGGGUGGGGGGAAAGAAAUCAUGGUGUCAUUUCUGCACACCCUGGCCUGCCAUUCUCCACCGCUACAGCUGUUCCACUAUUCCUCCUUUCCAAGGAGGGAGCUGUGGGAAUGGGAAGACAUUUGCUGAUCUCCUUCCCUGGGAGGGAAAAUGUGGGCACUUCGAAUCAGCUGAAAAUUCCCGCAAGCUCCUGGGGACGACGACUAAGACCUGGUUCUGAGAGCUUGGAGGCUACAGGGAAAGAAUAAAAGUGUUGUAGAUUCAGGAGGGGAUCUAUCAAGUUCUCUCUCCCUUUCCUGAUCUUUUAAAUCCAGUUCUUCGUAUUUCUUCAGCAACUCGCAACUCUCCGUUAAAAUUAUCCUCCUGAAAGUUCA